AUUGAACGCUGGCGGCAGGCCUAACACAUGCAAGUCGAACGGUAACAGGAAGAAGCUUGCUUCUUUGCUGACGAGUGGCGGACGGGUGAGUAAUGUCUGGGAAACUGCCUGAUGGAGGGGGAUAACUACUGGAAACGGUAGCUAAUACCGCAUAACGUCGCAAGACCAAAGAGGGGGACCUUCGGGCCUCUUGCCAUCGGAUGUGCCCAGAUGGGAUUAGCUAGUAGGUGGGGUAACGGCUCACCUAGGCGACGAUCCCUAGCUGGUCUGAGAGGAUGACCAGCCACACUGGAACUGAGACACGGUCCAGACUCCUACGGGAGGUAGCAGUAGGGAAUCUUGCGCAAUGGGCGCAAGCCUGACGCAGCAACGCCGCGUGUAUGGAGAAGGCCUUCGGGUUGUAAAAUACUGUUAGUGGGGAGGAAGGGAGUAAAGUUAAUAUGUGCGCACAUUGACGUUACCCGAAGAAGAAGCAACGGCUAACUACGUG
rnacentral:rRNA from 1 species